rnacentral:tRNA from 1 species
CACAGUGUAGCUUACCAAAGCAUUUCGCUUACACCGAAAAAGACAUCUAAUAACUAGGUCACUGUGA